CGGCUGACACCCACCAGAGACGUCUCACAAGUCAGUCUCCUUUCCUCCGCACGCCGCAAGGCCCGCACGCCAAUAGGCCCCUUAUUGCGGCGCGAGGGACGCCUCGCCCUGCCACGCCAAUGGCGAGUAACGAGUCUAAACCUCCUCGAUCUCUUACCUACCCCCCAAUGUCUGUUAAAAAACUUAGGGCUCCUGGGCUUAAAAGGUGAACUUCGUCGUAACCGACUCAUCUGUCUUUGCACUGCAGUCUGGCCUCAGUACAAAUUAGAUAAUGAUUCUCAAUGGCCACCCGAGGGGUCUUUACAAUACCAAAUCUUAACCAAUCUGGACAAUUUCUGCCAUCGGCUGGGAAAAUGGGGAGAAAUACCCUACGUCGUGGCCUUUUGGGACCUCAGGUCUCGCCCCAACCUAUGUUCCUCCUGCCCCUCUGCAUGCAUGCUCCUUGCCCGCCCACAACCCCCUGAUGACCCCACCUCACCAACUUCCCCGAUCUCCACCCGUUAGAGGAUCUAGCCACGCCGCGCACCAGCCCUUGCCCCCUUCCUACUCCCAACCUCCAGCCGUCCCGCCCUCGCCUCCCAUAUCAUCCCGAAUCCCGAACUCGUGCUCAGGCCCCUCCCAGCGAACAGACCCCAGCGGCCAUCUUACCUCUCCGUGAGGUGGCAAGACCUGAAGGCCUGGUUCGCGUUCACGUCCCCUUCUCCCUCCAAGACUUAUCCACCAUUGAAAAGCGGCUAGGGUCAUUCUUGUCUGACCCCACCCAAUACAUUAAGGAAUUCCAAUAGCUUGCCCAAGCCUACAGUCUCACAUGGCAUGAAAUCCUCACCUCUACCCUCACCCCUGAGGAGAGGGAGCGCAUCCAGGCCGCAGCCAGGGAACAUGCAGACCAAACCCACAUGACCGACCCCACUAUGCCUGUAGGGGCCGAUGCUGUCCCGGCGGCCGACCCCAAUUGGAACUACCAACAUGCAGGCAAUGGUCACCGGCGCCGGGACCAGAUGAUCCCGUGCCUGCUAGCAGGCAUGAGGGCAACCUCAACCAAAUCAGUAAAUUUUAACAAACUUCAAGAAAUAAUAUGGGACCCCAAUGAAAACCCCGUAGCCUUCCUUAGCCGGCUCACAGAGGCACUUACCCAGUAUACCAGACUAGACCCUACCACCCCCGCCAGGGCCACAGUAUUGGCCACCUACUUUAUUUCCCAAUCAGACCCUGAUAUUUAAAAAAAACCUAAAAAAGGCCGAAGAUGGUCCUCAAACCCCUAUGGCCGACCUGGUAAAGAUGGUUUUUAAAGUUUUUAAUGGCCGAGAGGAAGCUCAAGAACAACGGCGACAGGCCCGUCUCCAACAAAAGGGGACGACAGACUAGCAAUGCCCCCACGUGGCGAGGCUUCACCCCGAUUGGACUCUGCCUUCCAACUGCUGGAGAUGGAGGAUGACGGCUGACCAGGCCCAGACUCAGUAACUCCGGUGACCCACGCUGAGCCCAGGGUAAAACUACAGGUAGCGGUUUCCCAGGUUGCAUUUCACCAGAUGGUGGUCCGGCCAUAUUCCCGCAUUCCAACCUCAGACCCCACAUACCAUGACGUCGCCCUUACACCCGCAGGAAGCAGCCAGACCAGAUCCGUCGCCCAUUAUCACCAGUAAGAGGUUGGAAUGUUAGGAUGUCUUUGGAACCACAGUAGAGGGGACGGCCAUCUUGCCAGCGCAACCCAAUGAAAAGCCCCUAGUAGCGUGCCAGAACGAAUUGGAGGUCAACCAAUCACCAAGCGACAGCAUGACCUGAUGCGAAAAAGGCCCACCUGGACCUAAACCUAGAACCGCUGCAGCUUAAAAACCUCACCCACCACACCUGGGGGCGACUUCCCUGACUCCUCACUCUCUCUCUCUCCCUGAGUCACCGAACCUCGCCCGAGACCUUAGUUCCCAAAUAAAGCCUUUGACCGCUAAAAUUUUUUAGCCUCUGGCUCCUAUCUUUACCCUGCCUUACGCCUGACCCUAACACACCCAAUGUUUUUUUCUCUUCUGCCCUUCAAUUUCUGAGCCUAUCUUAACCAAGAAGCCCUCCUAUAUACUAACCAGGGAAGUGGUAAGCUUUUUCCAUCUCAGCAAAUUUGAAACAUUUACCUGUUUUGUUUUGCAAAGAAUGUGUCUUUUCUACCCACUCUGCUUACCUCAACACAUAACCAACCACAAUAUUCUUUCCAAUUUUGGAAUCUAGAAAAAUGUCAGGUGUUACAGGGCCACCAAAAUAAUGGCAUUAAAGAACAAUACGAAGUACCGUAAUAUUAGUGUGCUGUUAGUACUAUACUACUUCGUGUUAAGAUUGUUUGAUUCUGGACUAAAUGAAAUGGAGUACCUGACCUUCAUCAGCAAAAUGACCUCACCAACUUCUUAUUAGAACAUGCAUCCAUAAGUCUGAUAAGACUGUGGAAGCAGAAGGAACUGUGGUAGAAAGGUACCUGGUCUAAUUCAUCUUUUAUCCUUUGCAUCCAGCACAGAGAGUGAAUGCUAAUACAUGCUUAAUUUAAUGUAUGUAUUCAUGUACUGAAAAAUUUCAACAAAUAGAUGAGCAGUGGUACAGCAAGUAAUCAGGCAAAUACCAACAUUAUAAGGAUUUUAGAUUUUCUAAAAGUUCAAUUAAAAUACUGCCACUUUUCCAGAAUACGGAAUCAAAUUCCAAGAAAGCACUUUUAAUAAAAUAAGGCACAAUGUUUAAUAAGGCAAAAUUCACACAGAGGGUUAAUAUAACAUCACAUUCUCUUGUGAGUCCUGUGGGGGGAAAAAGGAGGUAUAGAAUUGAAGUAGCUUAAAUAUAUUUUUAGAGCAUUUGCCAUUACCAAGUAAUAUAUAAAUUUGACGCACUUAACUGUAUCUUAUUCUGAAAAGGAAAUAUAAUUGUUGAAUCAUGUUGCUGAAUUACAUUUAUUGUUAUCAUUAAGUUUUAAAUAUCUAUAUAUUUAUAGAUAUUUGUAAUUCACAAGAUUUCAAGUAGGUAAAAUUAAGAAAUCAGACAAUAAAAAGUAAUCUGACUAAAGCAAAAGUACAUAUAUUUUCAAUAUCCUUUGUUGAUACUUUAAAGUCCCAAAUUUUAUAAAAAGUUAAAGUUAAAAUACUGGUAAUUUAAAAUAUUUCUCCCAUUAUACUUUCGUUUCUCAUGAAUACAAAGUGGGCUCAGAAAUGCAACAAACACCAAUUAUAGGCACACAGGUCUCUCCAUGAUUAAACUGUUGUAAAGUGAUUGUUGAAAUUAAUAUUCCUUCUAAAUAACAUACAUCACAUCAAUGACCACAUCAAUGUCAACCAUUUGAGUUUAAAAGGUUUCUCUUAAAACAUCAGUUGUAGACAGAAGAACUAACCAAUUUAGUAAUGUUUUAUAGUACCAGCAACAGCAUUUUCAAUCUUAUCCCAGUUUCUUCUAACUACAAUUUAGAAUAAAAGUUUUAUCCCAUUUAUUCACAACCACAGAAAGUAAGUUCUGGUGAAUGCAUAUAGUCAGUCCAACCAUGGCUUUCUGGUACAAUGGUAUAUACAUAACCUUCAUUAAACUAGUUAAGUUUUAAUAUUUACUAGAUUGAAUACUGUACCUUAGGACAAACUGAGACUAACAAAUCCCAGGUAAAAGUCUAGUAGCACCUAAAUCAGUAUUACCCUGUGAGUAAUAAUUCAAUAAUGUUUGUUGUUAGUGAACUGUUAUUUUAUACAUCAAUUCGCAACAAAUAUGGACCACGGAGAGACAGAAAAAUGGAGAUAUUUACAUGAAAAAUGUUAAAACAUAGCCCCUUGCAACCUAGUGUUACAAAGAAACCACUCAAAAUAUCCUAGGCCUCACAGCAGUAAAAUCUUUGCAUCAUGCUAUUAACAUGACAGCCUUUAUAUGCUGUCACCCUUAGUGGUAGCAGAUAAAUUUUCUUUACAAAAUAAUAUAAAAAAGAAUAUACCUUUCACUGAUUUUAUUUCAGAGGACCCUGAUCCUUAUGGCUUGACCUUCUCCCAUAGUAUGCAUGAUUAGGAUUCUUUCUCCAGAAGCUCUAGACUCAUAGACAUUAGGCCCCGUUUUAGGGGAAGGAAUUCCUCAGGUCACUCACAGUCUACCUCCCUCAAGUCAAAUGCAAAAGAUCAUUAGGCUGUCAUAAACCACUUACUAAAUGACAGUGUCCCAAACUUUGGGUCUACAAUGAAGGAUUUAAGGCACACACUUUCUAAGCAUACAUGAAGACACUGUUGCCUUUAAAAAGAUCAUGGCUGUAAUGAAACUACAAAAGUGGAUUCUAUUAAAUUCAUCACAUUAAUGUUAUACAGAGUAUGGUGCUUAAUACAGAAACAGUGACAGUCAGGUACUUCUUUUCUACACAGACAGAAUCAGAAAUAUGUAUCACAGAUCAUGUUGCCUAAAAACAUACAUGUUGCCUAAAAACAUACGUAUCAGCCUUUAUUGUUAACACCCAGCAGAACUUUUAAAAGCUAUUUUGGACUAAAUGCAGAAUAUUUAUACUAACAUAAUACAAUCUCUACUUUGGAUAAGAAGAGGGUCAUUUAAGUAAAAAUUAGGUAUUUCUAAAUAAAUGCAGCUUAACUAAUUACAUACACAUAUUAUAACUGAUGUUUUGUCUACAAAGGGUUUUAUUACUUAGAAUAACAUUUUAUAUAAAUAAAUACUGCUAAAAUGCUUUAAAAGAUCAAACUUUAUUUGCACCAAUUAUUUGCUUAGUAUUUUUUUCUUUUUUUACAUAGUGAAAAGGUAAACACUAACUAAGGCUGUACCAUAAAUUUCAGGUUAAUGAGGUAUUACUUUCUCCCUUUGGAAAGAGCAAAGUUGGCUCUAAGAAAAUCCUAUUUACUUGCUGGCUUGUCAUCAUAGAGGGAUGUGGAUAAUCUCCCAAUAGCAGAAACCAAAGAAACUUAGUGAUAAAGACUUUCAGAUGGUUGUCAAUGGGCCACAUGGUUUUAAAACAAUUCACUAUUACUUUAAAGAACUUUCUUGGCUCAGGGCUAUCCUGGGGUGUCUGGUGACUUCUCUUUUCCUGCCCUUUGUUAUAAAGAUUUCUUUCAUUUAACACUCCAGCAAACAGCCUUUUCCUACUCUUUGCUUAAAUUGAUAUUUACAAUGUUUGGCAGAAUUGGCCUGCAGUAUUACACUGCACUAGCGUGGACUGCCUUUUAACUUUUAUCUACAUCAACAUAAAAAUUUCUCAAAUUUGAGGUACAGUUUACAAUGCAUCUUUAUUUUUAAAUUUGGUUACUUAAAAUUCCAAAGAAUAGAAAUUUCAGAAUAAGAGACUCCUCUGACAUAAAUAUAGAAGUAAAAUAUGAACAGUAAACCCUCAGAUCUACCUCUGGUACUCAAAUACAAGGAAUACUAAGAACCUCGACUAGCUUGUCGUUAGGUCAGCCAACCCCUGGCACCAUGGAAGCAAAAUGUUCUAUCAGCUAAUCUUCCUAUUUCCUAAAAUCCUAGGACUAUUCAAACUGAGUUGGUGAUGCUGAGAAUUGGAUUCUAAGAAUAAAGAUUACUAAGAAUGUUCAAUGUACCCAUUUCCAUUUCAAAUAUUAACACUGAAGAAUUCCAUUCUAGACACAUUAAUGCUGUGGUGAAGUAAUUUGAUACACAGAAGUUCUGGUCACUAAAAUUAGAGCAGUAUCAAAAACUUAUUUCACUAUGAAAAUUAGCACAGGUUUUGUAAAUCUCAAAAAAUAAAGUUUAUUAACUAGUUUAAACACAAACAGAUGACUUAGCAACUAAAGAGAGAGACUACAUUUAAAAUACAUAGCUAUAUGAUUCGGGAAUUGAUUAUCUGGUUGUUAAAUUAUCAAGUCCCUUGCAUCUCGUCUUCUGGCUAAUUUCUACCAAUCACCAUUUAUGAAAAAAGGUAAGGUAGAGGAGAGAAACAAAAAAUCUUAGAAAUUAUUAGCAGCUCUUAUAAAAGGUUAGGUCAAAGAUUUAAAAGAAAAAAUAUAUUGAUCUGUGUUCAAGGGACAAGACUAGCCCAAGGUCCCCCUGCAACACUGGCACCUUAACUCCUAAAAACAAAACAACAACAACAACAAACCAAAAAAGAUAAAACUAACAACUGAAAUGUAGAGUUUUGUAAAAGUCACUAGAGACAGCUACACACUGAUCUUAGAUUUUCAAAUGUCCACGUACAACAAACAUUUUGUUGUAUAUUAUGGUAUACAUCUACAUAUAAAGCAAAGGCCAGAAACUGUUUCUGGUUGGACCUAUUUACAUCUGUAAAGACCAAUCAGUAUAACUUCUUUCUGGGAAGCUGGAAAGAGGUAAGUAUGGUUAAAUACUAUACUGACAUACCUACCCAUUUAUUUUAUGAAGACUAACUCUCAGAAGAUUACCCAAGCUGUUACUUAGGUCAACCUGGUAAUAAAUUAGUAAACUGAGGCAUUUAAGCCAGAAAAAUUUGGUCCUAUCAAUUUAGAUAUAUUACUAUGCAUACAUUAUUUUCUAUGAAAAUAUUUUAUGUAUUGAUAUUAACUAAGUCAGUUACAAACAUUUUGGGUUUGCCACUUAGGCACUGCCUAAGUCAUCUUUACCUUUCCUAAUUUUGUAGUAUGCAGCUUGCUGUGGCUCAAGUGGAAAAGUAAACAAAGGCUUUCCGUUACUUCCAUAUUAUGAUAUAAUCACCCAUGUACUACAUUGCUAGGCAGCAGAAACAUACUAGAUUACUUCUACAGACAUAGACAAUUUCUGAAUCAAAAGGAAAAAACAAUCUUACUACGUUAUAACGAGGUGAAGGGAUUCAUUCUAUAGCAGCGUUUCACAACUGCAGUCAUGAAACUCUCAUGAUGUUUCAUGAAUAAAAUAAUAAAGUCUGAACUAUCCUACAGUAUAUUUUCUUCUAAAAUAAAAAAUAACAUAUGAGACAAAACCCUAACAUAUGUACAUAUUAUUAUUAUUAUACAACAAUCUGGUUUUAAGAAAUGGUGUGCCCCAGUCAUGAAAGCCAAGAAGUCAGAAAGGAGAUCCUGUGAUGUUCCAAUGUGUUUCUGACCUGCGUACGACUGUAUAGGUAACAUUUACCAACAAAACAUCAUGUUAUUAUUAUUGGUCAGUUAUCUAAUGACUGCUAGUAUGUGUUGUGCAUUUUAUAAUAUCAACUUGUAAUUGUACUAUCAUUGAAUUUUUAUUGCAUAUUAAACUAGUUAAUAAAAAUUUGGUCAUUUCUAAUAGCAAUUAAUUUGUGACACAUUUUUCUGCUAUACUUUAGAUGUCUUCAAUAAAUUUCUUGUUAUCAAUACAUUACUUUCAUAAAGUAUUCUAUGGUUAAACUAGUUUUAGAAAUUGCUCUAUUUCACACGAUUUCGAGACUGCUUUAAAGUCUUUACAUAAAUGAGUGCUGCCAACAAUUUUAUUUGGCUUGUUGUAGUAGUUUUCUAGUUUUUCUUUAAAAUGUACAGAAAGUUACAGUUCAGUACACACAGGCAAAGGAGUCAGAGGUGAGCUAAAAAUUUUUAAAUCAUCUUCCCACUCCUUUAAUG